rnacentral:rRNA from 1 species
CUACGGGUGCUCCAGCGAGGAAUAUUGCACAAUGGGGGGAACCCUGAUGCAGCAACGCCGCGUGGAGGAUGACGCAUUUCGGUGUGUAAACUCCUUUUAUAUGUCAAGAAAAUGACGGUAGCAUAUGAAUAAGCACCGGCUAACUCCGUGCCAGCAGCCGCGGUAAUACGGAGGGUGCAAGCGUUACUCGGAAUCACUGGGCGUAAAGGACGCGUAGGCGGGUUGGAAAGUCAGGUGUGAAAUCCUACAGCUUAACUGUAGGACUGCACUUGAAACUUCUAAUCUAGAGUAUGGGAGGGGGAGAUGGAAUUAGUGGUGUAGGGGUAAAAUCCGUAGAUAUCACUAGGAAUACCUAAAGCGAAGGCGAUCUCCUGGAACAUUACUGACGCUAAGGCGUGAAAGCGUGGGGAGCAAACAGGAUUAGAUACCCCGGUAGUC